UCCUUUGCCCUGCUUUGACCUACAAGUGAUGCCACUGAACCUCUUGUUGAGCUGUUAUUCAGCUGUUUCACGUUGUAGUCUUCCUUUGAAGUUACUUUCUUCCAGAAUGGCCACCUUAAGGUCAGUUAGUGUGUUCUAGGAAGGUUGAAAUGUUCUCCCGCUUGUUUAUCUUAUUAGAUCUUAUUAGGUUUGCCUUAUAUUGCAAUUCAAGACACUUCCAAAGAGACUCUGUAGACUUGCUCUAGCUCUGCAUAUAUUUAUUAGUUAGGGUUCACUGGCCCUACAGAUGCAUGGGAAAAGGAUACCUGCUAUUCAGAAGGAAGAAAACCACAGUUCCAGCAAACUAGAUUUCUGGCUGUCUUCUGGAGACUGUCAACGCUCCCUUCUUUCCGGUUUUAUUUUUAUUCAUUUUUUUU